rnacentral:rRNA from 1 species
AACGAACGCUGGCGGCAUGCCUAACACAUGCAAGUCGAACGAAGGCUUCGGCCUUAGUGGCGCACGGGUGCGUAACGCGUGGGAACCUGCCCCUCGGUUCGGAAUAACAGUUAGAAAUGACUGCUAAUACCGGAUGAUGACUUCGGUCCAAAGAUUUAUCGCCGAGGGAUGGGCCCGCGUAGGAUUAGCUAGUUGGUGGGGUAAAGGCCUACCAAGGCGACGAUCCUUAGCUGGUCUGAGAGGAUGAUCAGCCACACUGGGACUGAGACACGGCCCAGACUCCUACGGGAGGCAGCAGUGGGGAAUAUUGGACAAUGGGCGAAAGCCUGAUCCAGCAAUGCCGCGUGAGUGAUGAAGGCCUUAGGGUUGUAAAGCUCUUUUACCAGGGAUGAUAAUGACAGUACCUGGAGAAUAAGCUCCGGCUAACUCCGUGCCAGCAGCCGCGGUAAUGUAGACGU